UAGAGAACUGGAUGGUGUUAUCUAUUGUUGGGGAUAAGCCCACUCCUAGAUCCAAUCAUGCAGCAGCAGUCAUUGGGAAUAAGAUGGUAGUGGUAGGCGGUGAAUCUGGGACUGGCUUGUUGGAUGAUGUACAGGUGCUGAAUUUUGAUAGAUUUUCAUGGACGAAGACAUCGUCAAAGCUUUACUAAUCACCAAGCAAUCUGCCACUGAAGAUUCCAGAAUGCAAGAGCCUUACUUUGGUAUCCUGGGGAAAAAAAGGCUCUUCUAAUUGGAGGGAAAACAGACCCGGGGAGUGACAGAAUUUCAGUAUGGGCAUUUGAUGCAGAGACGGAGUGCUAGUCACUGAUGGAGGCGAAGGGAGACAUACCAGUAGGGAUAUGCCUUUCAUAACUGCAAAUGCUGCAGUGAUAUAAAUUGCUCUUGGGCAUUGUCCAAACGUUGAAAUCAUAUAUGGCAUCAAUGUCAUUAAUCAUUCAGAAAGAUAUAAAGUGUGACUACCAUAGCUAGACAUACAAUUCCAACAAGCUGAUAUUUUAAAACUAAGAACAAAUCUAAAUUUUAACAUAAAAUAUUGAUUAGAGA